GGGUCAGUAGGUUGGUCGUGCCACCGGUACGUACUGGUCUCACUGAUUCCUCCUUCCUGAAGAACCGUAAUGCCAUUAAUUUGGUGUUGCGGGGAAACAGGACUGUUACUUUGAAAAAAUUAGAGUGUUUAAAGCAGGCUAACGCUUGAAUACAUUGGCAUGGAAUAAUGAAAUAGGACGAUCGAUCCUAUUUUGUUGGUUUCUAGGAUUGACGUA
rnacentral:rRNA from 1 species